CUUCACCGACCCCAACAACAACGGCGCGUGCCCGUCGCGGUCCUGCCCGUACGUGGCCAACAACGCCUGCGCCUC
rfam:Micromonospora coxensis strain DSM 45161 genome assembly, chromosome: I